GUGCUCACUUCAGUAGCACAUAUACUACAAUGGGAACAAUACAGAGAUUAGCAUGGCCCUGUGCAAGGAUGACAUGCAAAUUCUGAAUGCAGUCCAUAUUUUU